GUCUCUCUGAUGCAGUGGUUCUCAACAGUUCAACAGUUCUCUCUCACAAUUGUGAAAUGUUUAGGACCACUUGAUCAGGC
rnacentral:pre_miRNA from 1 species